GGAGAGGUGGCCGAGUGGUCGAAGGCGCUCCCCUGCUAAGGGAGUAGAGGUCAAAAGCUUCUCGUGGGUUCGAAUCCCAUCCUCUCCGCCACCCC
rnacentral:tRNA from 1 species